AUCGAACGCUGGCGGCAGGCCUAACACAUGCAAGUCGAGCGAGCGGCGGACGGGUGAGUAAUGUGUGAGGAACUUCCCGAUCGAGGGGGAUAACUACUGGAAACGGUGGCUUAUUCCGCCUACUAUCGGUUGAACCUAUCAGGGAUUAGCUGGUGGGUGGGGGAAAGGCUCACCUAGGCGACGAUCACUAGCUGGUCUGAGAGGAUGAUCAGCCACACUGGGACUGAGACACGGCCCAGACUCCUACGGGAGGCAGCAGUGGGGAAUAUUGCACAAUGGGCGCAAGCCUGAUGCAGCCAUGCCGCGUGUAUGAAGAAGGCCUUAGGGUUGUAAAGUACUUUCAGCGGGGAGGCGUUACCCGCAGAAGAAGCACCGGCUAACUCCGUGCCAGCAGCCGCGGUAAUUC
rnacentral:rRNA from 1 species